AAACCAGCACCUCAAGUGGUCAGGAGGUUUGUUGGGCCUAAAGCAUCCGUCGCCUGCUCUGUAAGUUUCCGGUUAAAUCCAUUCGCUCAACUAAUGGGCUGCCGGAAAAACUGCAAAGCUAGGAAGUGGGAGAGGUAGACGGUACUCAGUAGGAAGGGGUAAAAUCCUUUGAUCUAUUGAAGACCACCUGUGGCGAAGGCGGUCUACCAGAACACGUUCGACGGUGAGGGAUGAAAGCUGGGGGAGCAAACCGGAUUAGAAACCCGGGUAGUCC
rnacentral:rRNA from 1 species